rnacentral:rRNA from 1 species
UCAUCCUACGGGACGCAGCAGUGAGGAAUAUUGGUCAAUGGGCGGGAGCCUGAACCAGCCAAGUCGCGUGAAGGAAGAAGGUACUUAGUAUUGUAAACUUCUUUUGUCGGGGAACAAAGGCGGAGACGCGUCUCCGGAUGAGUGUACCCGAAGAAAAAGCAUCGGCUAACUCCGUGCCAGCAGCCGCGGUAAUACGGAGGAUGCGAGCGUUAUCCGGAUUUAUUGGGUUUAAAGGGUGCGUAGGCGGACAGUCAAGUCAGCGGUAAAAAUGCGGUGCUCAACGCCGUACAGCCGUUGAAACUGGC